GUGCUCGCUUCGGCAGUACAUAGACUAAAAUUGGAACGAUAGAGAUCAGCGUGGCCCCUGCGCAAGGAUGACACGCAAAUUCGUGAAGCCUUCCAUAUUAAA